UACGAAGGGGACUAGCGUUGUUCGGAAUCACUGGGCGUAAAGCGCACGUAGGCGGAUGUGUCAGUCAGGGGUGAAAUCCCGGGGCUCAACCUCGGAACUGCCUUCGAUACUGCGGGUCUCGAGUCCGGGAGAGGUGAGAGGAAUUCCUAGUGUAGAGGUGAAAUUCGUAGAUAUUAGGAAGAACACCAGUGGCGAAGGCGGCUCACUGGCCCGGUACUGACGCUGAGGCGCGAAAGCGUGGGGAGCAAACAGG
rnacentral:rRNA from 1 species